rnacentral:rRNA from 1 species
AACGAACGCUGGCGGCAGGCCUAACACAUGCAAGUCGAGCGGACCUUUCGGGGUCAGCGGCGGACGGGUGCGUAACGCGUGGGAAUAUGCCCUUCUCUACGGAAUAGUCCUGGGAAACUGGGGGUAAUACCGUAUACGCCCUUUGGGGGAAAGAUUUAUCGGGGAAGGAUUGGCCCGCGUUGGAUUAGGUAGUUGGUGGGGUAAUGGCCUACCAAGCCGACGAUCCAUAGCUGGUUUGAGAGGAUGAUCAGCCACACUGGGACUGAGACACGGCCCAGACUCCUACGGGAAGCAGCAGUGGGGAAUCUUAGACAAUGGGGGCAACCCUGAUCUAGCCAUGCCGCGUGAGUGAUGAAGGCCUUAGGGUUGUAAAGCUCUUUCAGCUGGGAAGAUAAUGACGGUACCAGCAGAAGAAGCCCCGGCUAACUCCGUG